AAAUGUUUCUCAUCGGUAAGUUACUUUUCUAACAAACACAAAUUAUUGUUUCCUUGUUUUUAGUCUGGCAACAAUCAGAAUUCAUGUUUUUCUCUUGAAGUUUUGGCAUCAUAAGUAAAAAAGGAAGCCUAUUAUUGACAUCACAUCUGUUUGUAACGUCUGUAGCAAGACAAGACUUUUCCUACACAUUGAUCCACCAUGGCAGUGCAGUAAAUGGUCUUGGAUUGUGAACUAUCUAGUAUAGGUCAGGUUUAGCUAAUUUAGGGGCAUUAUUAAGGCUCAUUCUGUCAUGGGACACAACCUCACACAACAACCAUUUUAUUGAUAAAAUGGUUUCUGUGGUGAAGUCAAAUUGGACGAAAACAAUCACAUAUAUG
rnacentral:misc_RNA from 1 species